AAGAAGAGAAGCGGAAAAGAAGAAGGGAGCUACCGAGGGAGUGCGAGAGCACGUUAGAGCAAGAGAAAAAGAGAGAGAGAGAGAGAGAGAGGGUGAUGUGAGAGAAGAGAGGGGGGAAGGGGAGAUACGCGAGCGAUCGGCCGGUCUACUCAGUCCUCGUCCGUUUGCCAGGCAGUCGUCCGCACGAUAGAAGUGGUUGACAGUUCUCAGCAUCGUCAAAGACGCCGUCGUCGACGUCGACGACGUCGACGUUGAUGUCGAUGUUGUCGUUGACGACGACGACGACGACGACGACGACGACGACGACGAACGUUCGUCAAACGUGCUACGUACUCCGUGCUCCGAAUUUUCAUUUUAUUACGGGCAAGUGUUUCUCUAGUUCAUUCUCUCUUUCUCUUUAUAUCUAUCUCUUUUGCUCUCUUUCUCUGUCUAUCUAUCUAUCUAUCUUUCUCUAUCUAUCUGUCUCUCCUUUUCUAUCUUUCUCUCGCGCACACCACACUGUACAUACUAUCUUAGAAAGUCUCAUGACAACUCGUGAAUCACGUAUUUCCAUCUCGCUCUGACUUCGUUCUUAACGUAUAAGAAAGACAGAGAUGCAGAGAGAGAGAGAGAGAGAGAGAGAGAGAGGAGGGGUAGUUGUGGGAAAGAGAGAGAGAGAGAUAGUCGAUCAAGUCGCAAUUUCAUUCUUAUAUUCUUCGUACGUGCAAUACAUAGAAAAAGAGAGAGAGAGAGAGAGAGAGAGAGAGAGAGAGAGAAGGAAGAAAGAAGUGGAACUCGUUGGAAUAUCUUCUUCUAUCUUUUAUCAAGUUGGACGUCCUACCUACACAGUGGAAACGAAGGAAAUAUAGAACUCAGCUCCUCGGUCGACCUAUUGUCCGUUGUAGACCUUUUCAAGGACUGAUUGUGAAGUUAUCGGGAAAAAUGAAAAGAAGAGAGAAAAACAAACGAGAAGAUACGUAUCCAAAAUUUAUUUUUUAAUAUUAUAUCUACACACACACACACACGCGCGCGCGCGCGCACAUGUAUAUAUAAUUAUACUUUAAUUUCAUAUAUAUGUAUAUAUGAUUAUACUAUAAUAUUGUAUACAUGUAUAUAUAAUUACUAUAAUUUAUUUAUAUAUAUAUUGUUUAUAUAUGUUAUAAACAAAUAUAUUAUAUUAUUUAUAUUUUCUCAUACUAUAAUAUAUUUAUUAUAUAUAUGUAUAUAUAAACCCUAUGGUGUUUGAAAUUCGAAUAUAACAGUCGUCCUUUUGGUCGGUUUCCCUUGGACGGAAAGGGCCAAUAGGGGGGGGCAGGUGCACCAUGGAUUUCGGUAAGAUAUAGAAUGAAAGAGAGAGAGAGAGAGAGAGAGAGAGAAAGAAAAAGAGAGAUGGAAGAACAGCAGCUGUUCUUUCAUUCUUUAUACGGAUGGUAAGGUGUGUAAAGAAAAAUUUGAAGGAAACGUUAAUUCGUCGAAAAUAAUGAACGAAAGAAAACGAAGACGAAGUUAAACGUAAAGAUAAAGAUAAAGAUAAAGAAAGGGAAGGAGAAGUAGAAGUAACGGAAAAAAAAGAGAUAAACGAUACGGUUCGGUGGUAAGGUAAACGAUAUAACGGUGAAACGUAACACACACAAAUCCAGAAAGAGAGAGAGAAAGAGAGAGAGAGAGAGAGAGAGAGAGAGAGAGAACGGGUCCUUUUCGUUGGCAGAUGUCUCAAGACCGAGACACGUGCCCAUCUUGAAGGGCCAACUCUCCCUUACCACACCCUUCCCCUUUCUCUCUCUCUCUCUCUUUCUUUCCACUUUUUUUUGGGAAUCGUGUUCUUCUUUCAAAUACAACACUGCGAGUAUAAGAGAGAUGCGAAGCUUAAAAAAAGAAAAGAAGAAGUAGAGAAAACAAAAUAAUAAUGAUAAUGCUAAUGAUAAUAAUAGUAAUAAUAAUAAUAAAAAUAAUAUCAAUAAAAAAUGAAAAAAGAAUGGAUGGUGCUAGAGGGGUAGAAGGAUAUAGAGGGAUAGAGGGAUAGAGUGGUAGAGGGGUUAGGGUUAAGCUUCGAAGAAGGGUGUUCGUUCUUAUCCUAUAUACUUCCUUCCUCCAUCUUGCUUUUCUUCUUUCUUUCUUUCUUUCUUUCUUUCUUUUUUUCUUUUUUUCUUUCUUCAAUAAGAAGGGAAAGAGUGAGAGAGAGAUAGAGAUAGAAUGAGCGAGUAAGUGACCGAGUGAGUGAGUGAGAAGGAAAAGAAAUACAACAGCUGCCGUUUUUGCCUCGUGAAUCGCGACCGGUGCAAAGGUUCGCCCUUUGUCCUUGAAUCGCGCCGACCCUUUCGAUAUCGAAACGACAAAGGGCCGAGAAAGGGAACGUCUCUUGGCCAAGGAACGGAUUCCUCGAAGGCAGUAAGGCCUCUUCUCUUCUCUUCUCUUCUCUUCUCUUCACUUCUCUUCUCUUCUCUUCUCUUUUCUUCUUACUUAUCCUUUUCUUUCCUUACUUCUUACCUAUUUUUUUUCUCUCUUUUUCUUUUUUUCUUUUUUUUUUCCUUUUCACUUCAUUUCACUUCAGCUCGUUUCAUUUCAUUUCAGUUCACUUCGCUUCGCUUCACUUUUCGACAUCUUAGAAAAUUUUCUAAUCGGUACACCGUGUUUUACCAAUUCGAAUUGAAGUCUGUGUUUGUGUGUGUCCAUUUAUGUAUGUAUGUAUGUGUUUGUUUGUUUGUUUGUUUAUUAUGGAGAAUCGGAGAAUGUUUUUUUUCAAUCAAUUCUUUUUACCUUAUAUCUCGUUAUUUAUACCGGAUAUUAUUAUUACUAUAUUUGUAUGAGAAAGACAAUUUUUUUUACUUACUCUUUUCAAUUACUUUGAUAUAACACAUUAUUUAUUUAUUUAUUUAUUUAUUUAUUUAUUUAUUUGUGUUACGUCGGAGAAUGUUUCUUUUUCUUUUUUUCUUUUUUUUUUUAGUCGCUUUAUUUCGCGUUCCUUUUUAUUUGUAGGAGGUUUUUUUUUUUUUCUUUUUAUACGAAUAAAAGAAUAAAAAAUAAAAAAUGAUAAAAAACUUUGUUUGUACAAUUAUUUUGAUAUGCUCAAUCGUACGAUCAAUUAUUUGUUACGAUCAAUAAAUUUUUUCCAUUUACAUCCAUUUUAUUUAAACGCACACGUUGAUUGACCUUUCAAUGACAUGAAAUUAAUACUUAUCAGAACACGAACAAGAUUAUUCUUCUAAUAUAAACAAUUACUGCAUGUUCUUAUCAAAAAAAAA